rnacentral:rRNA from 1 species
GGCGAACGGGUGAGUAAUGCAUCGGAACAUGUCCAUGUCGUGGGGGAUAGCCCGGCGAAAGCCGGAUUAAUACCGCAUACGCCCGAGAGGGGAAAGCAGGGGACCGCAAGGCCUUGCGCGAUUGGGUUGGCCGAUGUCCGAUUAGCUUGUUGGUGGGGUAAAGGCUUACCAAGGCGAUGAUCGGUAGCUGGUCUGAGAGGAUGAUCAGCCACACUGGGACUGAGACACGGCCCAGACUCCUACGGGAGGCAGCAGUGGGGAAUUUUGGACAAUGGGGGCAACCCUGAUCCAGCCAUUCCGCGUGAGUGAAGAAGGCCUUCGGGUUGUAAAGCUCUUUUGUCCGGAACGAAACGGUUGUGGUGAAUAUCCACGACUACUGACGGUACCGGAAGAAUAAGCACCGGCUAACUACGUGCCAGCAGCCGCGGUAAUACGUAGGGUGCGAGCGUUAAUCGGAAUUACUGGGCGUAAAGCGUGCGCAGGCGG